rnacentral:rRNA from 1 species
AGAGUAUGGAUUGGUGCCUUCGGGAACUUACAUACAGGUGUUGCAUGGCUGUCGUCGGCUCGUGUCGUGAGAUGUUGGGUUAAGUCCCGCAACGAGCGCAACCCUUUUCCUAUUUGCCAGCGGGUUAAGCCGGGCACUUUAAAGAGACUGCCGGUGUUAAACCGGAGGAAGGUGGGGAUGACGUCAAGUCCUCAUGGCCUUUAUGCCCAGGGCUACACACGUGCUACAAUGGGUGGUACAAAGAGCAGCCAGCUCGCGAGAGUGAGCAAAUCUCAAAAAGCCAUCCUCAGUUCGGAUUGAAGUCUGCAACUCGACUUCAUGAAGUUGGAAUCGCUAGUAAUCGCGGAUCAGCAUGCCGCGGUCGAAUACGUUCCCGGGCCUU